rnacentral:lncRNA from 10 species
GACCGCUUUCCGGGAGACUGGAGUCGAAGGCCGUGAGGUAUUUUUCUAAGUCAGCCAUAAUGGCAGGUGAAGAAAUUAAUGAAGACUAUCCAGUAGAAAUUCACGAGUAUUUGUCAGCGUUUGAGAAUUCCAUUGGUGCUGUGGAUGAGAUGCUGAAGACCAUGAUGUCUGUUUCUAGAAAUGAGUUGUUGCAGAAGUUGGAUCCACUUGAACAAGCAAAAGUGGAUUUGGUUUCUGCAUACACAUUAAAUUCAAUGUUUUGGGGUAUGUGUGUUACUUUGGAAUUAAUUAGAAAGCAAAUUACUUAUUGUGUGAAAGAUGAUUUAUUUUUAAAAUGCUAACAAUUUAUUUACAAUUAUACUUUAUAACACUUUUAAUAGAUACUUAUUUUUAAAUCUAGAUGCCAGUGAGCCACACAUAGAUUUAGUAUUACAUGGAAAUUGAAUAAUUUAAAGUUUAAUUGUUUGUAGGACUUUCCUUUUUUGUGAAUAACUAGUUUCUUUAAUUGGAAUGUUUUAAAUUAAUACAUUCACCAUUUUAUUCCAUGAAAUUUUUCUCUUGUAGUUUAUUUGGCAACCCAAGGAGUUAAUCCUAAGGAACAUCCAGUAAAACAGGAAUUGGAAAGAAUCAGAGUAUAUAUGAACAGAGUCAAGGAAAUAACAGACAAGAAAAAGGCUGGCAAGCUGGACAGAGGUGCAGCUUCAAGAUUUGUAAAAAAUGCCCUCUGGGAACCAAAAUCGAAAAAUGCAUCAAAAGUUGCCAAUAAAGGAAAAAGUAAAAGUUAACUUUUUGGUUUUGAUGUACACAUAUUCAAAAAGUACAUCUUCCCCCCCCCCCCCCCC